GAUGAAGAACGCAGCGAAAUGCGAUAAGUAGUGUGAAUUGCAGAAUUCAGUGAAUCAUCGAAUCUUUGAACGCACAUUGCGCCCCAUGGUAUUCCGUGGGGCAUGCCUGUUCGAGCGUCAUUUACCCCCUCAAGCUCCGCUUGGUGUUGGGCGUCUGUCCCGCUUCGCGCGCGGACUCGCCCCAAAGGUAUUGGCAGCGGUCGUGCUAGCUUCUCGCGCAGCACAUUGCGCUUCUCGAGGCACCGGUGGGCCCGCGUCCAUCAAGCUCACCCCCCCAGUUUGACCUCGGAUCAGGUAGGGAUACCCGCUGAACUUAAGCAUAUCAAUAAGCGGAGGA
rnacentral:misc_RNA from 1 species